UAGAUGGGUAUCCCUACAUAGCGGGUGGGACCCACGGCAAAUGGUUCAUCAAGUCUUCAAAAAAGAAUAUAUACGAUUGCAUUGCAUAUACUAACGGAUGCGAUCAUGCCAGCACUAAUGCACCGGAUCCCAUCAGAACUCCGCAGUCAAGCGUGCUUGGGCGAGAGUAGUACUAGGAUGGGUGACCUCCCGGGAAGUCCUCGUGUUGCAUCUCCUUUUACGUUUAACCUUUUUUUUUUUU
rnacentral:rRNA from 1 species